AAACUAAUUUAAUUUGGCGGCAUUUCAUCUAAUUAGAGGAAUUUGUUUCAUAAUCGAUAAUCCACGUUAAAAUUUACUUUAAUCUAAAAUUUAUAUAUCGCCAUCUAAAGAAUUAAUUAAAAAAUAUUUUUCCUAAAAAUAACUAAAAAGAUAGGUCAAGGUGUAAUUCACAUUAAAGNACCAAAUGAAUUACAAUAAAUAUAAUUUAAAGAUUAUAAAAAUACACAUUAUAUAAAUUAGAAUUUAAAAGUAAUAUUCAAAUAAUAUUAUAAUAUGACAAAGAUAAUAAAUGUGCACACAUCGCCC
rnacentral:rRNA from 1 species